UGGCCCUAAAUCUCGAUGCUUGUCCUACCAAAAGCAUCCGCCCGAGGACUACGAGCACAAACGCUUAAAACUCUAAGGACUUGGCGGUGCCCCAAACCCACCUAGAGGAGCCUGUCCUAUAAUCGACAAUCCACGAUAUACCCAACCACUUCUUGCCAAAGACAGCCUACAUACCGCCGUCGCCAGCCCACCUCCCCUGAAAGCACAACAGUGAGCACAAUCGCCCUAACCCCGCUAAUAAGACAGGUCAAGGUAUAGCCUAUGAAGUGGAAGAGAUGGGCUACAUUUUCUAACCUAGAAAACCCCUCUUCAACGAAAAGGAACAUGAAACAGCUCCUAGAAGGCGGAUUUAGCAGUAAAGCGGGAUAAUAAAGCCCUCUUUAAACUGGCUCUGAGGCAC
rnacentral:rRNA from 1 species